GUUCAGUUGGCAUUACAUGAAUAAUAAUAAUAAUAAUCUAGCCGGCAGAUGCAAUCUGUGUGUUAAGUGAAUCAAUUCUUUAUUACUCAAGUUCCAUGUAAGUAUGUCAAACCUCUAGUAUCAAUAUUUAAAAGAAGCCAUCAGGGAGAUCUUGAUUGAUACAUAUCUACCCAUGAUAGCUGCCUAUGAUAUUUCCUUAAUUUAGUGUUUCCAGCACUCAGG